AUCUUGCCUUUGUUCAGAUUAUGAAACCAUUUCCAUGCAGCAAAUUCAUCCAAAAGUUUGAAUAAGUUUCAUGGUUGGACACUGUUGGCUUCUUUUUCUUCUGGGGUGCAUUUAGGUGCUAUCAAGUGACAGCUGUAAGUAUGAUUGCACUAAGCUGCCGCUGGGAAAUUUGAGGUUUUGAUGGCUGCCCAUGUUAUUUUCAAGAAACUAUUGAUGUAAGAAGCUGUGGUUCUUUUCAUCAGCUUGAACCUGAAACUGUCGCUAUGGAUAACUCAGGUUUUUGUUAUCAACUAUAUCAUCUUUUUCACUAUUUUGAAACUCUUAAGAUUAAACUUUAGUAAAGUUGUUUCAGCUAUUCAAAUGAAAAACUCAUUGAUUUGAGACUUCCUUCAUUAUUGUUUCUAAUUACAAUGCUAACGAUCCAGAUAAAAUAAUAUUUAAUCGGCGAAGGUGUCCCUUGGAAGUACAUCCUUCUUUUUCUUUUAUUAUAUAAAUUCUUGCAAUGAGCUUAGUGAAGCUGUUGUGCUAAUCAUGCCACUGCAUAAUUUGGCCCCUAAUGUGGGUACUCUGUUACAUUGUUCUGCAAAUUCUCCAGAAGUUAAAAUCAAUAAAUUUUCUAUUAGCUCUAGUGCUUUGACCUAAAUGCCAUUCUAUAUUUUGAUUACAAUGUUUUAACCUUUAAAUUAACUACCCCUAGAUGUUGGAUUUUCUAGAACUUCAAAAUGAUUAAUGGAGAAAGAUCCCAUUAUCGUUAUUGCUAUAAGAAAUUGAUUUAUGCAUCCAAAGAUACAUUAUAUAUUUCUGUGUCUCUAUUUGUAGAUGACAUUUAAGCAUCCAUAAACCGUCAGACAGAGGAAGGGGGUUCAGUGCAAAGAUUCUGUUGACCUAGGGUUGACUGCAUAAUGUCACUUGUUCGCAAUCUAUUAUUUAUUUUAUAUUUUGAAGAAUUUAAUGGGUAAUCCUAAUUGUUUGUUUUGGCAGGUAUGUGUUGUUAUCUCCUUCUAUCUAACAGUCGUACCUAAAUAGCAUAGUUUCAUCUGUGUUACCAUGUGAUGUACAUAAUUUCACAUUUGCCUCAGAUUAAGCUUAAUUUCCCACAGAAUAGAGCUGUCGCGACUGGACUUAGGUUGAUGUCCAAAGAGGUAAAUUAUUGGCAUGCCUAGAUAAUUUGGCCAUUUCCUAAUUCAUAAGUCUACAUUAAUUUUGAUUUUGAGUUGACUGAUUUCUUUUCAAGGUCUGCUUCCUUAACGGAGUGACCAAUGUUUUUCAACUAAAUUUAUCAUAUGAUGCAGGAAGCAGGGCAGGAUAUGAAAUGAGAAGCUCAUUGGUGGAAGUAUUGCCAGUAACAGAACCCAAAGAAAAUGAAACUAUUUCAAGGCAGCAGUUGGCAGUUGCAAGUGAAUGGAGGCCCUGACAAAAUUCUCAAGCGGUUGCAAUGCAAUUACGAUCAUCCUCAGCCUCAGGUAAUUUCUUCUCCUGCUCUGUUUUUAUUUGUUAUCUAAUUAAAAAGCAUAAAGUAUCUUGAAUCACUUUCUGUAUCUGGAACAUAUGCAGCAGUUUCUAAAAUCUUCAUAUGAGUGUAAUGAUGGUAAUUUCUGUUUUUUGUCUGUCAUUGAAUGUUAGACAACUUUCAGUGAGACUCUUGAACCGAGACAUUUUUGACAAAUGAAGGACAAUUGCUGAAGAGUGGGAAUGGUGCUAGAUUGGGGAAUAAAGACAAAGGAGGUAAAUUAUUUGCAGUUUAUUCAGCAUUAUUUGCUUUGGACCAGCGCCUGAUUCACAAGUCUCCAUAAUUUGGCUUUUGACCAGUUGUUAAUAAAUUUUUUAUUCCAUUGGUGCUAAAUGUACACGUGAAGCAGGCAGAGCAGGACUGUGGAAAUGAGAAGGUUUUUAGUGAAAGCUUAAACUCAGGUAAUUCUAAAAAGUACAUGUUUUUGCUGAUUUAUCUAAAUCAGGAAAUUUUAUUUCCAUCUGUUACAAGAUAAAACAGAAACAGAACACAAAGAAAAAUAUUCUACUUCUUGUGGCAAUCUUGCCUUCAUUCAGACAAUGAAACCAUUUCCUUUCACCAAUUUCUUCCAAAAGUUUGAAUAAGUUUCAUGGUUGGACAUAGUUAGCUUCUUUUUCUUUUGGUGCAUUUAGGUCCUAUCAAGUGACAGCCAUAAGUAUGAUUGCAUUAUUGGGAAAUUUUAGGUUUUGAUGGCUCCCCACGUUAUUGCCAAGAAAGUCCUCAUGUCAAAAGCUGCGGUUCUUUUCAUCAGCCUGAACCCGAACCUGUCGUUAUGGAUAACUCAGGUUUUUGUCAUCAACUAUAUCAUCUUUUUUACUGUUUUGAAACUCUUAAGAUUAAACUUCAGUAAAGUUGUUUCAGUUAUCCAUGUAAUCAGGCCAAGGAUAUUUAGCAGCUUAUUUAGGCAACUGCCAGAAUUCAGUUUGUUUGCUCGAAACUUGUAUGGUGACAAGGAUACUGGCAAGGAUAGUGAGAUAGUUUUUUGUGUGAGUGAAAUUUGAAAGCUUGGGUGUUCUGGGAUUUGCAAUUGCAAUCAUCCUCUGAGUCAGGUGAUUUCUUCUCCUGCUCUGUCUUGAUUUUCUCUCUAAUUGAAAGCAUAAAGUAUUUCAAUCAAAUUCUGUACCAGGAGUACAUAAAAGUUACUAAUAUUUUAUUUCCAUCUGUUUGCAUUGAUAACUCGGCAUAUGUUCUAGUUAAAGAACAAACAGAAACAGAGUUCAGGAAAAAGUUUCUUCGGCCACCAUAUUUGAAAAUGAAACCAUUUCCAGGAAGCAGUUGGCAGCAAAUUCAUAUGGAGUGUAGACAAUGAUGAGCAAAAAGGUGAUUCGCAAUUUCUUUUUUUUUUAAGUGAAAUUAUUUGUUAGAUUGAAGCUGAUAUUGUAAGAAGGCCAUUGAGCUAACCUAUGUCGUCACUUGCCUAGAUUGCAGGGGGUCAAGACUCAAAAGAAGCACUGAAAUUUAAAAAGCAUGGAAUAGUUCUUUUGCCAUGUGUCAAUUAAUGCAAGUUUGAAUAAGUUUAUUGGCUGAACGAUGUUAGCUUCUUUUCCUUUCGUGCACUUUGGUAUGCUAUCAAGUGACAGCCGUAUGUAUGGCUUGCAUAUAGCUGCUGCUGGGAAAAUUGACGAUUUCAUGGCUGGCCGUGUUAUUGUCUUAAAUUAGUUGUGAUAAGCUGUUGCUUGGAGAUUCUGUUGCCAAGACUUUGCUCACAUCAGAAGCUGUGGAAUCUGAACCCUUCGUUAUGUAUCAUCUUUUUCAUUGUUUUAAAACUCUCAGGAUUAAACUUGAGCGAAUUUGUUCGGUUGUCUAUAUAAUCAUGUAUUGAGUAAACUCUCAGGAUACUGAGGGUGAGAGAAAUUAGAGGGUGUAUAGGGAUUUGGAUUUGUUAGGAAGUUAUCAUUUUUAUUUUUAUUUUUAUUUUUUUCCCAGAAAAUCUUCUGGUGGUGCUAUAUUUUCAAACGACAGUCCGAUUCAAAACUUGAUAUUCCAAUUAUAUUCAUAAGCUUCUACAGUUAUCUUCAAAAAGACAAAUGGAAGGCUUUGAACGGCUUGGGUCUGAGUAUUGUAGUUUGAUUUAUUUUGAUGAAAGUACCUUUUGACAUUGAGAUUCUUUCAUGAGUUAAACAUUCUUUUUAAAACCAACUUAUUAAAAAAAAAAAGUAACUAACAUAUAUUAUUUUGUUAGUGCUUUUUAAAUCAAAUAUAAAAAAGAGAACUGUAAUUCUUAGCAACCAAUUUUUCACUGAGUACACCUACAACAAACUAUUAAAAAAUAAAGUGAUAGAAAAUGCCUGAUUUUUCGUACUUUCUAAUUACUUUUGGUCCUAAAAUAUGGCAAUUUGUGUAAUAAUAAGCCCAUGUAUAUCUUUAUGCCAUUAGUUUGAUAAAUAGCUAUCAAGGAUAACUUAUUAAGCUAAAAAUAUUUGAAGGAUAAAUUGAUUUAUGCAUCCAAAGAUACAUUAUAUAUUUCUGUGUCUCUAUUUAUAGAUGACAUUUAAGCAUCCAUAAACCGUCAGACAGAGGAAGGGGGUUCAGUGCAAAGAUUCUGUUGACCUAGGGUUGACUGCAUAAUGUCACUUGUUCGCAAUCUAUUAUUUAUUUUAUAUUUUGAAGAAUUUAAUGGGUAAUCCUAAUUGUUUGUUUUGGCAGGUAUGUGUUGUUAUCUCCUUCUAUCUAACAGUCGUACCUAAAUAGCAUAGUUUCAUCUGUGUUACCAUGUGAUGUACAUAAUUUCACAUUUGCCUCAGAUUAAGCUUAAUUUCCCACAGAAUAGAGCUGUCGUGACUGGACUUAGGUUGAUGUCCAAAGAGGUAAAUUAUUGGCAUGCCUAGAUAAUUUGGCCAUUUCCUAAUUCAUAAGUCUACAUUAAUUUUGAUUUUGAGUUGACUGAUUUCUUUUCAAGGUCUGCUUCCUUAACGGAGUGACCAAUGUUUUUCAACUAAAUUUAUCAUAUGAUGCAGGAAGCAGGGCAGGAUAUGAAAUGAGAUCUCAUUGGUGGAAGUAUUGCCAGUAGCAGAACCCAAUGAAAAUGAAACUAUUUCAAGGCAGCAGUUGGCAGUUGCAAGUGAAUGGAGGCCCUUGACAAAAUUCUCAAGCGGUUGCAAUGAUGGUAAUUUCUUCUCCUGCUUUGUAUUUAUUUGUUAUCUAAUUAGGAAGCGUGAAGUAUCUUGAAUCAUUUUCUGUAUCUGGAAUAUAUGCAAGAGUUUCUAAAAUUUUGAUAUGAGUGUAAUGAUGGUAAUUUCUGUUUUCUGUCUGUCAUCAAAUGUUAGAAAACUUUCAUUGAGACCCUUGAACCGAGUCAUUUUUGACAAGUGAAGGACAAUUGCUGAAGAGUGGGAAUGGUGCUAGAUUGGGGAAUAAAGACAAAGGAGGUAAAUUAUUUGCAGUUUAUUCAGCAUUAUUUGCUUUGGACCACCGCCUGAUUCACAAGUCUCCAUAAUUUGGCUUUUGACCAGUUAAUAAAUUUUUAAUUCCAUUGGUGCUAAAUGUACACGUGAAGCAGGCAGAGCAGGACUGUGGAAAUGAGAAGGUUUUUAGUGAAAGCUUAAACUCAGGUAAUUCUAAAAAGUACAUGUUUUUGCUGAUUUAUCUAAAUCAGGAAAUUUUAUUUCCAUCUGUUACAAGAUAAAACAGAAACAGAACACAAAGAAAAAUAUUCUACUUCUUGUGGCAAUCUUGCCUUCAUUCAGACAAUGAAACCAUUUCCUUUCACCAAUUUCUUCCAAAAGUUUGAAUAAGUUUCAUGGUUGGACAUAGUUAGCUUCUUUUUCUUUUUGGUGCAUUUAGGUCCUAUCAAGUGACAGCCAUAAGUAUGAUUGCAUUAUUGGGAAAUUUUAGGUUUGGAUGGCUCCCCAUGUUAUUGCCAAGAAAGUCCUCAUGUCAGAAGCUGCGGUUCUUUUCAUCAGCCUGAACCCGAACCUGUCGUUAUGGAUAACUCAGGUUUUUGUCAUCAACUAUAUCAUCUUUUUUACUGUUUUGAAACUCUUAAGAUUAAACUUCAGUAAAGUUGUUUCAGUUAUCCAUGUAAUCAGGCUAAGGAUAUUUAGCAGCUUAUUUAGGCAACUGCCAGAAUUCAGUUUGUUUGCUCGAAACUUGUAUGGUGACAAGGAUACUGGCAAGGAUAGUGAGAUAGUUUUUUGUGUGAGUGAAAUUUGAAAGCUUGGGUGUUCUGGGAUUUGCAAUUGCAAUCAUCCUCUGAGUCAGGUGAUUUCUUCUCCUGCUCUGUCUUGAUUUUCUCUCUAAUUGAAAGCAUAAAGUAUUUCAAUCAAAUUCUGUACCAGGAAUACGUAAAAGUUACUAAUAUUUUAUUUCCAUCUGUUUGCAUUGAUAACUCGGCGGCAUAUGUUCUAGUUAAAGAACAAACAGAAACAGAGUUCAGGAAAAAGUUUCUUCGGCCACCAUAUUUGAAAAUGAAACCAUUUCCAGGAAGCAGUUGGCAGCAAAUUCAUAUGGAGUGUAGACAAUGAUGAGCGAAAAGGUGAUACGCAAUUUCUUUUUUUUUUUUUUUAAGUGAAAUUAUUUGUUAGAUUGAAGCUGAUAUUGUAAGAAGGCCAUUGAGCUAACCUAUGUCGCCACUUGCCUAGAUUGCAGGGGGUCAAGACUCAAAAGAAGCACUGAAAUUUAAAAAAGCAUGCAAUAGUUCUUUUGCCAUGUGUCAAUUAAUGCAAGUUUGAAUAAGUUUAUUGGCUGAACGAUGUUAGCUUCUUUUCCUUUCGUGCACUUUGGUAUGCUAUCAAGUGACAGCCGUAUGUAUGGCUUGCGUAUAGCUGCUGCUGGGAAAAUUGACGAUUUCAUGGCUGGCCGUGUUAUUGUCUUAAAUUAGUUGUGAUAAGCUGUUGCUUGGAGAUUCUGUUGCCAAGACUUUGCUCACAUCAGAAGCUGUGGAAUCUGAACCCUUCGUUAUGUAUCAUCUUUUUCAUUGUUUUAAAACUCUCAGGAUUAAACUUGAGCGAAUUUGUUCGGUUGUCUAUAUAAUCAUGUAUUGAGUAACCUCUCAGGAUACUGAGCAGGCAAAUGUUAUAACUCGGUUUGUUAGCCAAAAACUUGUUGAAGAUUCUUGACAAAGCUGCAUCAAGUGAAUUGUCGGAGCUCUGAGGGUGAGAGAAAUUAGAGGGUGUAUAGGGAUUUGGAUUUGUUAGGAAGUUAUCAUUUUUAUUUUUAUUUUUAUUUUUUUCACAGAAAAUCUUCUGGUGGUGCUAUAUUUUCAAACGACAGUCCGAUUCAAAACUUGAUAUUCCAAUUAUAUUCAUAAGCUUCUACAGUUAUCUUCAAAAAGACAAAUGGAAGGCUUUGAACGGCUUGGGUCUGAGUAUUGUAGUUUGAUUUAUUUUGAUGAAAGUACCUUUUGACAUUGAGAUUCUUUCAUGAGUUAAACAUUCUUUUUAAAACCAACUUAUUAAAAAAAAAAAGUAACUAACAUAUAUUAUUUUGUUAGUGCUUUUUAAAUCAAAUAUAAAAAAGAGAACUGUAAUUCUUAGCAACCAAUUUUUCACUGAGUACACCUACAACAAACUAUUAAAAAAUAAAGUGAUAGAAAAUGCCUGAUUUUUCGUACUUUCUAAUUACUUUUGGUCCUAAAAUAUGGCGAUUUGUGUAAUAAUAAGCCCAUGUAUAUCUUUAUGCCAUUAGUUUGAUAAAUAGCUAUCAAGGAUAACUUAUUAAGCUAAAAAUAUUUGAAGGAUAAAAUGGUAAAACUAAAAGGGUGGAGUAAUAUAGUUAUUUAAGAUUACAUAGUAAGUCAACUAUAUUCGAGGGAUAAAAUAUUAAAACUUGAAUAGUGAUAUUAAAAAUAUCUCAGCUAUUAUACUAUUAAACCAUAUGCCGUAAUAAUAUUUUUUUUCAAACUUUAAAAAAUUCAGGAUUUUAAAUUAAAACAUGGAUUUCUUUAAGAUGCUAUAUGUGUUUUUACAGUAUUGAUAGUGGGAUUAGUGUGGACCUUUAGAUGAAAGAGUUUUAAUCUGAAUCAUUCAUUUAAUAUAAUAGAUAAUUAAAUAAUUAAUUAAAAUAUAUCAGGUAACUUAUAGGUUGCAGGUAAAAAAUUAAUUUUUUAAUUUUAAAUUAAAAUUAAUUUGGAACAAAACCAUCCACACCCCUAAGGUUUACUUAAAUGAUCAUAUAAAUCCCUUUAGUUUCUACAUAGUUAUACAAACCCUCUUAAUUUCAUAAAUUAUUAUUAUACUUUUAAUUAAAACAACCUAAAUGAAUAUAAAUAUAGUAAUAGGAUAGAAAUAAUAAAUAAAUAUCAGAUGAAACAAAUAAAAUAUUACAAUAAAUACAAUUAAUUAAAUAACAUGUAGGAUGAAAAUUUUAUUCAUAUUAAGUUAUUAUUAGUCGAUCUCGAUGGAUUUACUCAAAUUAAUUAAUCCAAAAUUUAAUUUUAAGAUUGAUAUUAAUAUGGACAUAAUUAAAUAAGAUGUUGUAAUAUAUAUUACUUUGAAUGUUAAGUAUAAUUAUCUAAUAUUAUUAGUAUGUGAAAUAGAUUUUAAUAUUAUUAAAAGAAUAUGACAAUAUAUAAUUUUGACAUAAAUUUUUUAGUAUUCAUAAUAUUUUAUAAAUUUUAUCUUAUUUUAUAUAUUAUAUUUUUUAAUUUUAAUGUAUUAUAUAUGAUCAUUUAAGCAAAUUUUGGAGGUGCGGUGGUCUUUUCCCUAUUAAUUUUGUAGCAUAUUUAAAGUGUUAUAUCAUACAUCAUACAUCGCACUUUUGUUAAAGUAUUAUGUUAUUAAAAAUUAAACUUUGCAUUUAUAAUAUACUACCAUUUUAAUGUAAAUGUAACAAAAAAUAUGAAGAUAUUUUUAAGUAGUCAAUUGUAGCUUUCUAUUACAAAAUAGCAGUAUAGAAAUACAAUUGGUAAAAUGUAAUAAAAAUGGUAUGGAAAAAAGUUAGUAGAGGCAAUUAUUUUUGUAGUUGCUAAAACAUAUGAAGUGACACACACACACACACACACACACAUCAAGUACUUGUAUGUUCCCCUAACUUUUAUUAAUAGGAAGGAAAUUAAAUUCGUAAUUUUCCCGGUGAAUUAUGAAUUGAUAAAUGAAAUAUAAAUAUUAGUAAAAAUUAAUUUGUCGACUAAAGAAGUAAACCAUAUUUUAUGGGCAUUUAAUACAUUACUUUAAGGUCAAAUGAGAUAUAUCACAUGAUAUUUGAUACAGUAGUCCAAUUUUCAACAUUUGCAUAUAGUUUCUAAGCUAGUAAUCUAAUAAAAUAUACCAAAUGAGAAAUUCAAGGCUAUUAUUUAUAUUUCACAAUUGGACAAACACCAUACAUUAGAAUAAAAAAAUCUCACAGUACAGACGACAUCUGUUUGCAUGUUUUGAAAAUAGAUUUUGAAAAUAGUUUAAUUACAUGAUAAUUAAAUUAUAUUAUAAAACUAAGAAUAUGAUUUAAGUACUAUUUUAGCAAUUUUGAGUCUCACAUUGAGUAUUCAAGUUAAUUAAAUGUUGAAACUCUUUUCUAUUUGGCUUGAAAUCACUACUUAAUUAAAUUACAAAAAGUCGAUAAUGAAUGAUGUAGGACACAUAUGUAAAAUAAAUUUUAAAGUGUAAUUAAACAUUCCUAUCAAUAUUAGUUUCGUAUACAUGUUCAUAUAUUUUAUUGAAACCAUAUAUAAUUAAAUUUUGUGUAAUUAAGUAAAAUAUAUUAUUCAAGUGAAUUUAUGAGAAUAUUUAAAAUUAUAGGGGUGGUCACUGAAAUUUGCCAAACUUGAGCCAACCGUGCAUGAUCCAAACAAUUUAUUUUAAUAAUUCUCAAUAUGUUAGUCUGUUUGACUGUUGGCAAAAUAAAUUCCUAUCAGCAAUGCAACACAAUUCAAAAUCAUAUCUGCAUACAACGAACAAUAUCUCAUCAAAGAUCAAAUUAUACAUUUUUUACACCAAAGCAUAAAUAUCUAAAUUAUCCCUCUUCAACUCACCAAGCUCAUACCUAACAACAGCAAGAUUAAAUGUCAUUUGAUCCAUCUUUUUUAGUAAGCUUUAUCAAUUCUUCUCAUGGUUGCAAUUUUGAAAGCUCGCUUCGCUAUUUCCAUUUGCUUUUAUGCUUUGUUUGAGCUCCAUCUUUUCUCUCCAUCUACAUUUUACACUGUAAAAAAAAUUUUAAAAAAAUUACAAAGCUUCUUAUACUAGAAUAUGAGCAACAAUAUAAAUAAUAAACAAUAAAGUUAUGAUAGCACAACAUACUCAUUAAAGUGCUUCUUUUUUUUUUUCAACAAGAAAUUACUACUGAAUUAAAGAAUUGGCUUUGCAUUAAGGUUUGCCUUCAAUAACUCAACUCCCCACUUGGGUUUUGUCGUUUUCUUAAAAUCUCUGCUCAAUCAAUUUAAAGAUCCAUUUUUUUUUUCUUUCCAAAGAUCUAAAAGCAAUGUCUUUUAUUGGUACCCAACAAAAAUGCAAGGUCUGUGAGAAGACAGUUUGUCCAGUUGAGCAGUUAUCUGCUGAUGGGGUUGUUUAUCACAAGUCUUGCUUCAAGUGCUAUCACGGCAAAGGCACACUCAAGCUAAGCAAUUACUCAUCCCUGGAAGGUGUUCUUUACUGUAAGCCUCACUUUGAGCAGCUUUUGAAGGAGUCGAGUAACUUCAACCAGAAUUUCCAAUUACCUGCAAAGUCAGCUGAGAAGUUAACUCCUGAGCUGAGAAGGUCGCCUAGCAAAGUUGCCAGCAUGUUCUCUGGGCCCAAUAAAAAUGUGCUUCUUGCAGUAAAACAGUGUGUCCGUGGGAGAAGGUAGCAGUGGAAAACCAAGCCUCUCACAAGACAUGUUUCAAGUGCUCACAUGGUGGUUAUUCCAUUAGCCCGUCAAAUUACGCAGCCCUAGAAGGCAUCUUGUAUUGCAAACAUAAUUUCUCCCAAUUGUUCAAGGAAAAAGGCAGCUACAACCACCUUAUAUCAAAUCUGCUCCCAUGAAGCGUGCUGCAGUCUCUGUUCAAGAAGCUUGAACACGUUAUGUUAUCUUCCAUAAAUCUUAUUUGGCGUGGGUUUUCUCUGGCUUGAGGGUGUGCUUUCUAUUUUGAUCCCUCUUGUUGUUUUUGCGGGGAACUACCAAACCUUCGGUUCCCUCUGCUUCUUUGGAUCAUCUUUGUUUGGACAAAUUUCAUGUAAUUAGAGAUACCGAUUUAUGGGAGGCAUAAUCCCAUGGUCGUAAAUUGACCAUUUUCUGGCAAUGUUCUUUUUAAAAAGAGAUGAGCAGUUGUUUAAAAAAAAAAAAAAUUGCUUGCCUUCAUCAUUGUAUAUUACCAAACUGCUAUGUAUAGCUGCUAACUAUGAGCAUCCGAAAAUAUGGUGCAUCGUGAUUCAUGUAGUGCAAUAUGGCUACCAACGCAUCCUAAAUGGAGUAUUACUCAGUUAGUCAGCAAAAUAAGACAACAUAACUGAUAUUAAAAAAAAAAAAAAACUACAUUAAUAAGUGGGCAAGAUCAUGCCAGUUUAACUUUUCGCGCGUCGCUGCUGGAGAUGAUCAAAUCGGGGCAUAGAAAAGGAGAAUGGAAUCAGAGGCUAAGAUUAAUAAGUGGGCUUCUGCUUGCUUUGCCCUCUUUCUUAAACGAUUGGUAGACUGCUGCUUCCGCCGAUUAACCGGGUCUUCAACCACUGCUUUUACUGCCUGCCAUCUUGUUGUUUGUCGAAGGGAUGAAUUCGAGUCGAAAAGAGAAAGCGCGCUGAAAAAGAUAAAUCACUAGUGGUUAACUGCUGACUCAGCCAAGUGUUGGCUUCACUUGAUUCACCGAUUGAGGUUAUUUUGUCUUCUAUCUAAUGCAGCGAAGAAGCUUUGCUGCUUAACAUGCUGCAAUGCAACUUUAUCCUUUGAAGUUCACACUCCAGGGCUGCGCACUUUAUGUAAUCCUAUGAGUAAAAAGAAUUUGUUUUCAAAUGUGAAAAAAGAAAAUGUAAGGUAGUAACUAAAUAUAUUAUAGCAUCAAAGCAAGAUUUGAUAUGAAUUUAGUACAACAAAGAACAUCAAAUCUGUGAUUCCUUGUCUAAUGUCACCAUCGAGCAACAAAUUUAAAAGCCUACCUAUCAAAUACACGAGGCAAUAAACGGAGAAAAAGUUGAAUUACAAGAACAAGUUUACAAUUCUUGUCAAUGGUUAAUGAUUUGUGAACUGAGAUAUCAUUCAAGAAUCCAAUUUCAAUACAACAACCUAAAAGAUAAACAGAUGAUGAAUUUUAUGAGAUAAAAAAGGAGAUCGUGUUUUAUCGUAUCUCUAUUUUCUUUCUUUUUAAAUUUAUGAGAUAAAGCGGUUGGUCCAGUUACGGUGUUAUGCUAACGGGUUUAAAGGUUCCGAUCCAAUGAGUUAGGGUGGAAUAUGAAUAUAUAAAUUCCAUAGCAUGUAAGGACUAGGAUUUGUUUGUUCAUAUCAAGAAAAAAAAUCUGAAAAUUUGAUGAUCAGAAGAUAAAAACACUUAAACACGUUUAAGUAUCAAUAAAUACUUGCUGCUGUAGUUUGAAAAUAAAAUGAGUUUAUCUUGUUGCUGUUUGAUAAAAAUUUAUACUAUUUUUAUUAAUUUUGUCAAAAUCAAUAUUUAGACAUUAUAUUUACCAAGCAUUAUCAUUUUUUUAAUCUCAUAAUUAAUUAAAAUUUUCAUUUCAUUCAAUACAGUAAUUAAUUAGAAUUGUAGCAUAAGCCCAUUUUAAUUUUCUUUCUUUAGGCUAUAUACGCUACUUAUAAGAAAAACUUAUGGACCAUUGACCUAGGCUUAUACAAUAAGCCAAUUUAGAAAUUGUAGACUCACUCUAUGGAUUACUCAUGAGUUGUGGAUGAUGAGUUCUUCACUAACGAAGUGCAUUGGAUAUCAUAUAACGUAAAAACACACAUUGUCAUUAGUCUAUUGCAAGCAUUCCCAUUUGGCACCGAAUCUUUCUCAUUAGCCUAUUGCAAGCGAUCCCAGCCACUUGGAAUCAAAAUUUAGUGAAUUUACAUAUGUUGUCUCGAAGUGGUGUCUCUUAUGGUUGGGUGUUUUUAUAAAUUUCUUAAUUGCUUCGAAUACCAUGGCUGAUGCAACCGUUUCUACUAUCUUGGAGCAGCUGAUUUCCUUCGCUGCUGAAGAGAUAAAACAACAGGUGAUCGAAGUUGCACCCCUCAUAUUACAAAUGCUUCCAAUGAUUUUAAUUGGUUUUGUUUUUAUCAAAAACAUUAUAUAUUUUUUCUUUAUUUUAUUUAUCUGGUAAUUUUAGAUUUUGAAAUUUGAAUUGAAUUUAAUUAAAAGGUGAUGUAGUAACCACUUAUUUUUAUUUUUUUUUAUUUAUAUUCUCAAUAACUACUCAUAGUUUGGUAACUUACUAUAACUUCCAUAUCUAAGAAAUGAUCCAAACCCACAAUUUUAACUCAAGUUUGUCAAACAGUCAUUAAUUCAAUGUUUAGUAAAAAAAACACUUCUCAGCACAGAAUUCCAUGUCCAUUACUUAGACUCUAUGAAAAAUUUCAUAAUUUUCUUACAUUCUUUGAGUUUGGUAAGUGAUUUCAUAUAUUUUCUAUUCAAUAUAAAUUUUAAUUUGUUUUCUUAUAUACUCUCUUUGCUGAAUUUGUAUCUUUUAUGAUUCUUAGAUUUUGGGCUCUAACUUUUUAGGAUUUGAUAGUCACAUUUUAUGCCAUGCUUAGAUUGAUUUUCAUGAUUUUUACUACCCGUUAAGUGACUUAGAAUUUGACAAAAGUUUGAAAGGAAAUCUGCUUCAGGAUUCUGUUUUAAUUGACCCUUUAGUGGAAAUAAAAUGCUUAUAACUUAAUGUGGAUGCUAUGUAAAAUCAUGAAAUUUGGAUAGAAUUAACUAGAAAUAUGUACAAGACUCUCCAUGAAGUCUCAUAAUUUUUCAUUCGGUCUGGGGUGUUACAGGUGAAGCUUGUGGUUGGUGUCGAAAAAGAAGUGAAAAGCCUUACCAGCCACCUUCAAGCCAUUCAAGCUGUGCUCGAUGAUGCAGAGGAAAAGCAAGUGAAGGACAAAGCUGUUAGACAUUGGCUGGGUAGGCUCAAGUAUGCAUCCUACGACAUUGAAGAUGUGUUGGAUGAGUGGAUCACAGGAAGACGCAAAUUGCAAAUUGAGGGUGGCAUUGGUGAAAAUGCUCUUAUUGCUCCUCAUAAGAAAAAGAAGGUACGUUUCUGCUUUCGUGCCUCUUGUCUUGGAUUCAAAACAGAAGAAUUUGGCUUCAAACAAGUCUUUCUACGUCAUGACAUUGCCAACAAGAUCAAAGAAAUGAAUGAAGAGCUACAUGAUAUUGCUACUCAAAAAGACAUGUUUAAUCUUGUUAAGAGUGGCAAUAACAGUAGUGAAAGACCAAGGCGUGUACAGAGUACCUCCUUGAUUGAUGAGGAAGAGAUUUGUGGUAGAGUUGGUGAGAAGAAUGAACUCAUAAGCAAGCUGUUGUGUGAGAGUAGCGAGCAACAAAAAGGCCUCCAUAUCAUCUCAAUUGUUGGUAUGGGAGGCAUAGGGAAAACUACUCUUGCACAACUAGCUUGUAAUCAUGACGAGGUGAAGAGAAAGUUCGACAAAAUUCUGUGGGUGUGUGUAUCAGAAACUUUUGAGGAGUUUAGGGUUGCCAAAGCAAUCGUUGAAGCUUUGGAUGGUCGUGAAUCUCAUUUAGGUGAAUUCCAAUCUCUUCUUCAACAUAUUGAUGAAUCCAUUGCAGGGAAGACCUUUCUUCUUGUCUUAGAUGACGUGUGGGAUGGAAAUUACUUGAAAUGGGAACCAUUCUACCGUUGUCUAAAGAAUGGUCUCCAUGGAAGUAAAAUUAUAGUUACCACACGUAGUGGGUCCGUUGCAUCCAUGAUGGGAUCCAUAGAUAUUAUUCCCAUUAAGGAAUUAGCUGAAGAGGAAUGUUGGUUGUUGUUUAACAAGAUAGCAUUUUUUGGUAGGCCUAUUGAGGAACGUGAAAAAUUAGAACAAAUUGGGCAAAGAAUUGCAGGCAAGUGCAAAGGUUUACCUCUUGCAGCAAAGACAAUAGGGAGUCUCAUGCGUUCUAAACAAACUGAAGAAGAGUGGAAAAGAAUUUUAAAUAGUGAUUUAUGGAAAGUAGAAGAGAUUGAGAAAGAUGUUUUGUCCUCUUUAUUGUUGAGUUAUAAUGAUUUGCCAUCUAGAGUAAAAAGAUGUUUUUCAUAUUGUGCUGUCUUUCCAAAAGACUACAAUAUAAAAAAAGACGAACUAAUCACAUUAUGGAUGGCUCAAGGUUAUCUUAGUGCAGAAGCAGCAGAACAAGAUGAGGAGUUGGAGACUAUAGGUGAAGAGUAUUUUGGCAUCUUAGCUUCUCGCUCUUUCUUUCAAGAGUUUGAGAAAAGUUAUGAUAAUCGUAUUAUAGAGUGCAAGAUGCAUGAUAUGGUACAUGAUUUUGCCCGCUUUGUAAGUCAAAAUGAAUGUUUUUCGAUGGCAAUUAAUGGUAGUGAAGAACCAAACGCCACAAACGCUCUUGAUGAGAAGGUCCGUCAUUUAAUGUUAAUAUUUAGUAAAGCGGCUUCAUUACCUAUUUCCACUCUUAGAGUUAAAAGAAUGCGUACCCUCUUAAUUAACGAUCAUUCAUUAUUAAAUGCUGCGAUCCUAGAAGAAUUAUUUAGGGAAUUGACAAGUUUAAGGGCAUUAGAUUUUGGCGGAUCGUACCACUCAACGCGGUUGUUGACUCCGGAGGUUCCGAGAAACAUAGAAAAGCUGGUACUACCGGAGACAUUGUGUGAGUUAUAUAAUCUAGAAAAGUUAGAUAUUAGUGAUUGUUUUAAUCUUAAAGAAUUACCUGAAGGGAUUGGGAAGUUAAUAAACGUGAAGCAUUUACUAAAUAGAGGUACUAAUUCUUUAAGGUACAUGCCAGUAGGGAUUGGGAGAUUAACAGGUCUUAGGACCUUGGGUGAGUUCCACGUGAGUGCAGGAGGAGGUGUUGAUGGUAGGAAAGCAUGUAGGCUUGAAUCUCUUAAAAACUUGGAACACCUUCAAGUAUGUGGUAUAAGUAGACUGGGUGAUGUAUCAGAUGUGGGCGAGGCUAAGCGAUUAGAACUUGACAAAAAGAAAUACCUCUCCAGUUUGACCCUUUGGUUUGAUAAGGAGGAGGAAGAAGAAGGAGAAAGAAGGAAGAACGAGGACAAUCAACUUCUUCUUGAAGCCCUGCGACCACCUCUCAAUUUAAAGGAAUUAGAGAUUGAGUACUACCGAGGCAACACUGUUUUCCCCAGCUGGAUGACGUCAUUAACCAACUUGAAGAGUUUAGAUCUCUCUUCCUGCGAAAAUUGCGAGCAGCUGCCUCCUUUGGGAAAAUUGCAGUCCCUUGAAAAUCUCCACAUAUGGCGCAUGGAGAGUGUGAAGAGAGUGGGUGAUGAAUUUUUGGGGAUAGAAAGUGAUCAUCAUGGCUCAUCUUCAUCUUCAUCGGUUAUUAUUGCCUUCCCCAAAUUGAAAUCACUUUCAAUUGAGGUUCUGCGCGAAUUGGAGGAGUGGGAUUAUGGGAUUACAAGAACGGGAAACACCGUCAUCAACAUCAUGCCACGUCUUUCUUCAUUGACAAUUAAUUACUGCUCCAAAUUAAAGGCACUGCCCGACCACUUUCAUCAAACGACAACAUUGAAGGAAUUGCACAUUUGGAAGUGCAGGCUUCUGGAAGAACGUUAUUGCAAUGGGGAAGGAGAAGACUGGUCUAAGAUAUCACACAUUCCCAACCUCCAUAUUGGGCUUUGACAAGUAAUUUCUUCUCUUACUCUGAUUUGCUUUGUUGUUGUUUUUAAUCUAAUUAAGAAGCGUAAAUAGCAUUUUGAAUCAAACUCUAUAUCAGAAAUCUGCAAUACUUACUUUCUAAUAUUCUGAUUUUCAUAUCCUAUGAAUAUACGAUUUUUAAUUUGUGAGAUGGGUAACGUUACUGUAAAAGAUUAUUAAUGCAAUAUGAGUAAUUCUUUUGCAGGACAAGUGACCUACAUUUAGUUUGGCUUUGGAGUUGAAUAAUAACCUUUCGAGGUCCCGACAACCAAAAAACGAAGCUUAAUUUGCCACAGAUUGCACGUAUUGCCAUUAUUGACAAUUUUCUGCACAAGCGUGACUGAACUUAGGUUGAUGUCAAAAGAGGUAAAUUAUUGGCAUGCCUGACUAUUUUGACCAUUACAUGAUUCAUAAGUUUACAUUAAUUUUGAUUUUGAGUUGAGUGAUUAAUUUUCUAUGUUUGCUUACUUUAACUGGGUGACCAAUUUCUUGUAACUAAAUGUAUGAUGUGAUGCAGGAAGCAGGGCAGGAUAUGAAAAGAGAAGCUUAUUAGAGGAAGGAUUGCCAGUAACAGAAUCCAAAGAAAAAGAAACCAUUUCGAGGCAGCAGUUGGCAGUUGGCAGUGAAUGGAGCCCCUUGAAAAAGUUCCCAAGCCGUUGCACUGCAAUUACGAUCAUCCUCGGCCUCAGGUAAUUUCUUCUCCUGCAUUUUUGUUAUUUGCUAUCAAGUGACUAUUUUAAGUAUGAUUGCAUUAAGCUGCUACUGGGAAAUUUGAGGUUUUGAGGACUGCCCAUGCUAUUGUCAGAAGCUGCGGUUCUUUUCAUCAGCCUGAACCUGGACCUGCCGCUAUGGAUAACUCAGGUUUUUUUUUUUUUUAAUCAACUGCCAUCUUUUCCACUGUUUAGAAACUCUUAAGAUUAAACUUUAGUAAAGAUGUUUUAGUUAUCCAUGUAAUCAGGCUGAGGAUACUUAGCUGCCUAUUUAGGCAAAUGUCAGAAUUUAGUUUGUUCGCUGGGAACUGGUGUGGACUGGCAAAGGAUGAUGAGAUAGUUUUUUGAGUGAGUAAAUUUUGGGAGCUUGAGUGUAUUGGGAUUUGCAAUUACAAUCAUCCUCUGCCUCAGGUGAUUUCUUCUCCUGCUCUGUCAUUGUUUGUUCUCUAAUUCAAAAGCAUAAAAUAUUUCAAUCAAUUUUUAUACCAGGAAUAUGCAAAAGUUUCUAAUAUUUUAUUUCCAUCUGUUACAAGAUCAAACUGAAGCAGAACUCAAUCAAAAGUAUGCUGCUUCUUGCGGAAAUCUUGCCUUUGUUCAGAUUAUGAAACCAUUUCCAUGCAGCAAAUUCAUCCAAAAAUUUGAAUAAGUUUCACGGUUGGACACUGUUGGCUUCUUUUUCUUCCGGGGUGCAUUUAGGUGCUAUCAAGUGACAGCUGUAAGUAUGAUUGCACUAAGCUGCCGCUGGGAAAUUUGAGGUUUUGAUGGCUGCCCAUGUUAUUUUCAAUAAACUAUUGAUGUAAGAAGCUGUGGUUCUUUUCAUCAGCUUGAACCUGAAACUGUCGCUAUGGAUAACUCAGGUUUUUGUUAUCAACUAUAUCAUCUUUUUCACUAUUUUGAAACUCUUAAGAUUAAACUUUAGUAAAGUUGUUUCAGCUAUUCAAAUGAAAAACUCAUUGAUUUGAGACUUCCUUCAUUAUUGUUUCUAAUUACAAUGCUAACGAUCCAGAUAAAAUAAUAUUUAAUCAACGAAGGUGUUGAUUGAUUUGAGACUUCCUUCAUUAAUGUAGACUUCCUUCAUUAUUGUUUCUUUUUCUUUUAUUCUAUAAAAUCUUGCAAUGAGCUUAGUGAAGCUGUUGUGCUAAUCAUGCCACUGCAUAAUUUGGCCCCUAAUGUGAGUACUCUGUUACAUUGUUCUGCAAAUUCUCCAGAAGUUAAAAUCAAUAAAUUUUCUAUUAGCUCUAGUGCUUUGACCUAAAUGCUAUUCUAUAUUCUGAUUACAAUGUUUUAACCUUUAAAUUAACUACCCCUAGAUGUUGGAUUUUCUAGAACUUCAAAAUGAUUAAUGGAGAAAGAUCCCAUUAUCGUUAUUGCUAUAAGAAAUUGAUUUAUGCAUCCAAAGAUACAUUAUAUGUUUCUGUGUCUCUAUUUAUAGAUGACACCUAAGCAUCCCAUUAUCUAUUAUUUAUUUUAUAUUUUGAAGAAUUUAAUGGGUAAUCCUAAUUGUUUGUUUAGGCAGGUAUGUGUUGUUAUCUCCUUCUAUCUUACAGUCGUACCUAAAUAGCAUAGUUUCAUCUGUGUUACCAUGUGAUGUACAUAAUUUCACAUUUGCCUCAGAUUAAGCUUAAUUUCCCACAGAAUAGAGCUGCCGCGACUGGACUUAGGUUGAUGUCCAAAGAGGUAAAUUAUUGGCAUGCCUAGAUAAUUUGGCCAUUUCCUAAUUCAUAAGUCUACAUUAAUUUUGAUUUUGAGUUGACUGAUUUCUUUUCAAGGUCUGCUUCCUUAACAGAGUGACCAAUGUUUUUCAACUAAAUUUAUCAUAUGAUGCAGGAAGCAAGGCAGGAUAUGAAAUGAGAAGCUCAUUGGUGGAAGUAUUGCCAGUAAGAGAACCCAAAGAAAAUGAAUCUAUUUCAAGGCAGCAGUUGGCAGUUGCAAGUGAAUGGAGGCCCUUGACAAAAUUCUCAAGCGGUUGCAAUGCAAUUACGAUCAUCCUCAGCCUCAGGUAAUUUCUUCUCCUGCUCUGUUUUUAUUUGUUAUCUAAUUAAGAAGCAUAAAGUAUCUUGAAUCACUUUAUGUAUCUGGAAUAUAUGCAGCAGUUUCUAAAAUUUUGAUAUGAGUGUAAUGAUGGUAAUUUCUGUUUUUUGUCUGUCAUUGAAUGUUAGACAACUUUCAGUGAGACUCUUGAACCGAGACAUUUUGGACAAAUGAAGGACAAGUGCUGAAGAGUGGGAAUGGUGCUAGAUUGGGGAAUAAAGACAAAGGUGGUAAAUUAUUUGCAGUUUAUUCAGCAUUAUUUGCUUUCGACCAGCGCCUGAUUCACAAGUCUACAUAAUUUGGCUUUUGACCAGUUGUUAAUAAAUUUUUAAUUCCAUUGGUGCUAAAUGUACACGUGAAGCAGGCAGAGCAGGACUGUGGAAAUGAGAAGCUUUUUAGGGAAAGCUUAAACUCAGGUAAUUCUAAAAAUUAAUUCUGAUUGUUCCGAUUUAUCUAAAUCAGGAAAUUUUAUUUCCAUCUGUUACAAUAAAACAGAAACAGAACACAGAGAAAAAUAUUCUACUUCUUGUGGCAAUCUUGCCUUCAUUCAGACUAUGAAACCAUUUCCUUUCACCAAUUUCUUCCGAAAGUUUGAACACGUUUCAUGGUUGGACAUAGUUAGCUUCUUUUUCUUUUGGUGCAUUUAGGUGCUAUCAAGUGACAACCAUAAGUAUGAUUGCAUUAUUGGGAAAUUUUAGGUUUUGAUGGCUCCCCAUGUUAUUGCCAAGAAAUUUUAAGUCCUCAUGUCAGAAGCUGCGUUUCUUUUCAUCAGACUGAACCCGAACCUGUCACUAUGGAUAACUGAGGUUUUUGUCAUCAACUCUAUCAUGUUUUUCACUGUUUUGAAACUCUUAAGAUUAAACUUCAGUAAAGUUGUUUCAGUUACCCAUGUAAUCAGGCUAAGGAUAUUUAGCAGCUUAUUUAGGCAACUGCCAGAAUUCAGUUUGUUCGCUCGAAACUUGUAUGGUGACAAGGAUACUGGCAAGGAUAGUGAGAUAGUUUUUUGUGUGAGUGAAAUUUGAAAGCUUGGGUGUUCUGGGAUUUGCAAUUGCAAUCAUCCUCUGCUUUAGGUGAUUUCUUCUCCUGUUCUGUCUUUAUUUUCUCUCUAAUUGAAAGCAUAAAGUAUUUCAAUCAAAUUCUGUACCAGGAAUACGAAAAAUUUACUAAUAUUUUAUUUCCAUCUGUUUGCAUUGAUAACUUGGCCGCAUAUGUACUAGUUAAAGAACAAACAGAAGCAGAGUUCAGGAAAAAGUUUCUUCGGCCACCAUAUUUGAAAAUGAAACCAUUUCCAGGAAGCAGUUGGCAGCAAAUUCAUACAAAGUAUAGACAAUGAUGAGCAAAAAGGUGAUUUGCAAUUUCAUUUUUUUAAAAUGAAAUUAUUUGUUAAGUUGGAGCUGAUAUUGUUAGAAGGCCACUGAGCUAACCUAUGACACUGCUUGCCUAGAUUGCAGGAGGUCAAGACUCAAAAGAUGCACUGAAUUUUAAAAGGCAUGCAAUAAUUCUUAUGGCCAUUUGUCAAUGGUGGAAGGCUUUUAGCUUCUUUUCCUUUCGUGCAUUUUGGGGUUCUAUCAAGCGACAGCCGUAUGUAUGGAUGGAUAUAGCUGAAGGACAACAUUUGUCCAUGAGGUUCCUAAAAUCGCAACUUUUGUGCAGUAAAAUUAAAACGGACGGCGGAAGCUCUAGAAACCUCGGAUCGGCUUCAUUCAAAAACUAAAAUCAAGAGGAAAGAUUGAAGUUUAAUUACCUCACUUGCAGUUUCGAAAAAGACUUCUUGAGGUAGGAGAAAACGACUGAAAACAGCAAGCUACGAACACUGUCCAGAAAAUACAGCUCUGCACGAACAGCUUCUGUUUUGCCACGAUCUGAGAUCCUUAAGCACCCCAAUUGUGAUGCCUCUAAUUAUUCCACACUUAUAAAUGUUCUAGGAGUUCAGAGGAUUUUGAAUCACGAAAUUUCGUUUAGAAAUGAGAGAGAUAAUGAUGAAACAUGAAUGCUAGUUCAUGAUGAUUCCCCUUCCACCAAAUAAAGCACCAUUAUGUCUAAUAAUGGCACCAAACAUUAUCAUGUGCUAGACCCAUCCACUUAGCUAUAAUUUAUUGAAAGUGAUCUUAUCACUUAAAUAAAUUAUUUAAUCAAAUUAAUAAAUAGCUAAAUUAAUUAAUUUCGUAAUUAAUUAAUUAACCCCAUUUUGAUCAAAUCAAAUGGUUAAAUGUGGGCUCAUUUUGUGACAUGUUCUAAUGCUUUCUCUUAAUCCAUAUUAGAUCCAAUAAAAGCCCAAAAUUCUAAACCCAAAAAUGGUCUAGAAGUCCAUAAUCAUAUAUGAACCCGAACAUGUCCAAAAUGGUCAUUUUACGUGCUCGAUAUUACAUAAUGUUUAAUGGAGGAUUUACGAAAUUUAUUUUGUUCCUUAAACUAUUUAUGGAACAUCUAAAUUUCUAUCUUAAAUCAUAUUUAAGAUAUAUUUAUAUAUAUAUGUAUAUUCAUUCUCAAUGAAUUAUAAUAUAAAUAUUGAUUUUCCUAAAAAUAGGAAAUUUAACUUCUCAUUUUCUAGUAACUCCUUUUUCAUUUCUAUUUAAUGUGUGACCUUUUAGGUUCUUAGUUAUAAGGUAGUAGAACUAUUUUAAUGAUAACUCUUUAUUCAUUAAAUGAUGCUAAACUCUUUAGUCAUCAAUUAGAACUCUUCUAAUGACCUUAAGAUGCAUUGAUAAUACGCUUUACCAAUAUUGAUCUUAAGGUUUCUACAAGUCAUGAGUGACACCUAGCAGUAUAUCACAACUAUCCAAAUAACAAGAAUUGUUGGAUCUAUAGAACCUAUUCCAUUGUACCUCUAUGUCUUGGUCUCUUCAUCAUCCAUGUCCAAAGAAAAGCACGGCUUAUGGUUUAUUAUGUUAAGCACUUAUGCUUUAUCUCAAAACAAAUCUAAAUGAACUUGACAUGAAAAUAUAAUUUGAACUCCUUCAAAUAUAUUUCACCUUGGCCAAGGAUUUCUCAUGCCAAUUCAUAUUAUCUCAUAGGGACAUCCUUUUUGUAUAUUACAAAGUGAUGAAUUCCAUAUUGGCCAUGCACUAGUCUUCAUACAUAUCCAACCAUGACAGUUAUUGCUAGAUCUCUUCCGUGAUUAGGAAUCAAUCAUUAUGCAUUCACAUAUCAGAGAUGUCUAUGUAUAAGACAUCUGUUAUGCCUCAGGUCUAAAAACCAUUACUAAACAUAGUGUUUAAUACAAUGUAUAAUAAGCCAUUAACACUCAAGACCAUAUAGCUUACUAUAUUUGGUCAAGUUUAGUAAACUUGUUCUCUCAACAAGUAUCUAUGUGUUUGACUUGACAUCUCAUGUCAAUGAUAUGAAACUCACCAUCUAUUUUAGUAUCACAUACCAUAAGGAGUCAUAACACAUACUAGUGUUUAUAGAAAUUUAUAAUGUCCAAUCAUAAAUCCACCACUAGGAACUAUUUUAGAAGUAUAGUACAAAGGAUACACGUUUCAUAUUCUCGACAAACUCGAGAAUGUGUUCCUUAACUAUUUUACAUCUUGGACUAUAUUCAUUAAAUUAAUUAAUGAAUAUUGAUAACUUUGCCAUUUUAUAAAUAUCAAAAUGCUAUUCAAAUACGAUAAUUCCCUAAACAAACAAACACCAUUUGAUUGGCCUUUAGGGCAUAUUACUAACAAUCUCCCACUUGCACUAAAGCCAAUCGCUAUGGUAUCUCAUACCCAUCUUCUCAAGAUGACGAUCUAACUCUUGUUGAGUAAGUGCUUUAGUCAGAGGAUCCGCAGUGUUAUCAGCGGAGGCUACUUUCUGCAUAGUGAUAUCACUCCUUCCAAUGAUUUCUUUGAUAAUGUGAUAUCUUUUUUCUAUGUGUUUGGACUUCUAGUGAGACCUUGGUUCCUUAGCUUGUGCUAUAGCUCCAUUGUUGUCACAAUAUAAAGAGAUUGACAACGCAAUGGUUGGAACCACUUCAAGUUGUUGAAUAAACUUCCGUGUCCAAACAGCUUCUUUUGCUGCAUCUGAUGCAACUAUAUAUUUCGCUUCAGUGGUAGAAUCUGCAGUAAUUGUUUGCUUAGAACUUUUCCAGCUUACUGCUCCACCAUUGAUAGUGAAUAAAAUCCUGAUGUAGAUUUUCUAUCAUCUACAUCUGACUGGAAAUCUGAAUAUGUGAAGCCUUCAAUUUUUAGCUUACUUUCUCCAUAUGUUAAGAACAAAUCUUUAGUUCUUCUGAAGUACUUAAAGAUAUUCUUAACUGCGGUCCAAUAUUCCUCACCCGGAUUACUCUGGUAUCUGCUAGUGACACUCACUGCAUUGAGCUAUAUCCGGUCUAGUACAUAGCAUAGCAUACAUAAGACUUCCAAUUGCAGAAGCAUAUGGAAUCUUAUUCAUUCGCUCUAUCUCAUCAUAAGUUUUAGGACUCAUGCUUUUAGAGAGAUGAAUUCCAUGUCUGAAGGGUAUAAAACCCCUUUUGGAAUCCCACAUAUUAAAUUUCUUUAAUAUCUUUUCUAUGUACUUAGCUUGACAUAGACCUAUUAAUUUUCUGGAUCUAUCUCUAUAAAUCCUGAUUCCCAAGAUAUACAUUGCAUCUCCUAGGUCUUUCAUGGAGAAGUUUUGAGAAAGCCAAAUUUUGACAGAAGACAUUUGUCCAAUGUCAUUUCCUAUAAGUAAUAUGUCAUCUACAUAUAGCACAAGGAAAGAUAUUGCACUCCCACUAACCCUUUUGUAAACACAUGGUUCAUCCUCAUUCUUGAUGAAACCAAAUGAUUUGAUUGCAUCAUCAAAUCGGAUGUUCCAGCUCCUGGAGGCUUGUUUUAGCCCAUAAAUGGACUUUCUUAGCUUGCAUACUUUAUGAGGAUUUGUCUUAGAUUCAAAACCACAAGGUUGUAUCAUAUAGAUAUCUUCCUCAAUGUACCCAUUAAGAAAUGCAGUUUUGACAUCCAUUUGCCAAAUCUCAUAGUCAUAAUAUGCUGCUAUAGCCAAUAAGAUUCUGAUGGACUUUAGCAUGGCUACUGUUGAAAAGGUUUCCUCAUAGUCGAUACUUUGUAUUUGACGAUAACCUUUAGCUACCAACCUUGCUUUAUAGGUCUCUACCUUUCCAUCUAAGCCGAUCUUCCUCUUGAAGAUCCACUUGCAUCCAAUAGGUAUAAUACCUUCGGGUGGAUCCACUAGAGUCCAGACUUGAUUGGUUCUCAUAGAGUCCAUCUCUAAAUCCAUGGCUUCAAGCCAUUUCUUAGAGUCAAUAUCUGAUAUUGCCUCUUCGUAACUAGUAGGAUCAUCUCUAUGAUUUGUAUCACCCAAUAAAAAAUAUAUCGUUCAUCUGAUGAAGAAAACCAUAUCUUUCUGGUGGGUGAAUUAUUCUAUUAGAUCUACGGAGCUGCUGUGUUCCUUGUGUUUGUACUUGAACAAGUUCUUCAUUGGAUUUAUCCUCAUUAGAAUUCUCAAUAAAUUCUAUUUUUCUUCCUUGUCCACCUUCUUGAAUAAACUCUUUUUCAAGAAAUAUGACAUUUCUACUGACCAAUACCCUUUGAUCAGAUUGGAUGUAAAAGUAAUAACCCAAAGUUUCCUUUGGGUAUCCAAUGAACCUCCCACUAUCCGCUUUAGCUUCAAGUUUCUCACUCUUGAGUCUCUUGAUAAAAGCAGGACAUCCCCAAAUCCUAAGAUGAUUUAGGCUUGGUUGUUUACCAUACCACAUCUCAUACGGUAUUUUAGGUACAGACUUGGAAGGUACUCUGUUUAGUACAUAUGUUGCAGUAAGGAGAGCAUAUCCCAAAGAGAAAUUGGUAAGUCUAUAUAACUCACCAUUUAUCGCACCAUGUCUAACAGUGUGCGAUUUCUCCUCUCAGAUACUCCAUUAAGCUCUGGUGUACCUGGAGGUGUCCAUUGUGAAACAAUACCAUUUUCUUUAAGGUAAGACUGGAAUUCUCCACUGAGAUAUUCACCACCUCGAUCUGAUCGUAGGGUUUUAAUAACUUUUCCAGUCUGUUUCUCUACUUCAUUUCGGUAUUCUUUGAACUUUUCAAAGGCUUCAGAUUUAUAUUUCAUUAAGUAUACUGAACUAUACCUUGAGUGAUCGUCGAUAAAAGUUAUGAAGUAGUAAUAUCCACCCCUUGCCAUUUCAUUAAAUGGUCCACAUACAUCAGUAUGUAUAAGUUCAAGUAAAUCAGUGGCCCUUGUACUUCGUCCAACGAAGGGUGCCCUGGUCAUUUUUCCUUGAAGGCAUGAUUCACAAGUUGGAUAAGGUUCUAAACCAAAUGGACCUAUUAGUCCAUCUUUAGCCAAUUUUGUGACUCUAUCUUCUCCAAUAUGACCUAGCCUUAAAUGCCACUUAUAUUUGGGGCUUAUUUCUUCUCUUUCACGUUUAUGUGUUAUGGUAUUUACAUUCACAACAUGCUCAUUAUUUUCUUUCAUGUUUAGUACAUAUAGAUCAUUAUCUAAAGUACCAUGUGCAACAUAUUUAUUCUCAUGAUAAAUAUUACAAAUUUUAUUUCUGAAAUAAAAUUCAUAAUUGUCUUUGCAUAAACAUGAAAUUGAAACUAUGUUCCUUACAGCAGAAGGAACAAAUAAACAAUCAUUCAAACUUAUUACAUGCCCAGAUGUCAUUUUUAAGAAAAAUGUCCCUAUAGCUGAGGCAGCAACUAUUGCUCCAUUUCCCACUCUAAGAGACACUUCUCCUUGUUUAAGUCUUCUACUUCUUUUCAGAUCCUGCAUUGACAUACAAAUAUGUGCGGUCGCAGCAGAAUCUAAAAUCCAAGAAGUAGAAUGAAUGAUUGAAAUAUUAGUUUCAAUAAUGAGCAUACCUUCAGAAGGAUUCUCUUUAGGCUUGACUUUCAAGCUGUUGAGGUAAGAUUUGCAAUUCCUCUUCCAAUGCCCAUUCUUACCGCAAUGGAAACAUUUUCCCUUGUCAUUGGGCUUAUUAGCUUUCCCCUUCUUAAUCCCACCUUUAGCCUUGGGUUGAAACUUUUUCUUUUUACCCUUUUUAGUUGAGGGCCCUUCUAUAGCCAUAACAUCUUUUGGCUUCUUUAUGCAAGUUUCAGCAGUAUUAAGCAUCUUUAGCAGUUCAGCAAGACUGCACUCCAUUUUAUUCAUGUUAAAAUUCAUGAUAAAUUGAGAGCAUGAGUCUGGCAAGGACUGUAGGAUAAGGUCGAUAGCUAAUUCCCCAUCCAUUGAGAAAUUAAGAGCUUCCAGCUGCUCUAUGUAGUCAAUCAUUUUGAGUACAUGAUCAUUGACCGAUCCUUCAGUCAUUCUCAUUCUGAACAGUUUCUUAGAUAUCUCAUACCUAACUGUUCUGCUUUGUUCACCAUACAACUCUUGUAAAUGAAGUAUCAUGGAACUUGCAUCAGGCAUAUUUUCAUGUUGCCUUUGUAGUUCAUUGGACAUCGAUGCCAAUAUAUAGCUUUUAGCACUUAGGUCAUCAUCUUGCCACUUCUGAUAAGUGACACGAUCUGCCUCACUUGCUCCCUCAGGAAUUUCAUUUAGAUUAGAUGUAUCAAGAACAUAGCUAAUUCUCUCAUAAUUAAGAACAAUUCUUAAAUUUCUGAACAAAUCAACGUAAUUAGGUCCCGUCAAACGGUAGUUUUCCAGAAUUCGUGCUAACAGAUUAUUCAUUAUUAAGUAUUUCUGCAGAAAGUAUAAAUUAAAUUAUUAGCAUUUUAUUUUAUUAUAAUCUAUUUGAUUUUGGUCUUUAAACCAAAUAGUGCCUCCUGUUGAGUGUUAGAAAAUGCAUAUUUAUAAAGGAGAAAACCGUCAUUUUACAUUUCAAGUCUUAUUAACAACCCUUACUUUUAUGUAUUUAACAUUCUUGUGAUUUAAUUACAUGUGUUUAUUUUAAUUAAGUAAUUUAUGUAUUUUAGGGGCAUUAUAGUCAUUUCACAAUAAAAGAGAGAUCAGACGGCAAAACGGACAUCACUUUUGAACUCAGGACGGUCGAAAACCUUAGGAGGAGCAUAAAAGGAAAAAUGACACUAUUCACAUGUACGGUACUAUUCACGGGUACGGUAUUGUCUACGUUACUGUUCACGACAAUGUUCACAUAGACGGAUCAAUGACGUGGCAUUGAUUGAUGACGUGGCAUUGACUGAUGAGGUGUCACGAUCCUGUUGGACUAAAAUUCUUAUAUACUGUUGAUGGUGACGUGGCAGCAUAUUAGUGGACGAAAAAUCUCGCGUACGGUGCAUGCAUCACACAGGAUUAUUUUCAACCAAACCGCGUUACUGUUCAUCCGGGUCAAACCGUGUUACUGUUCAUCCGCGUGGUCAAACCGUGGACUCUUGACUGAUGACGUGGCGCAAUCUUGAGCGUCCAAACUGUUUUUAAUCCGAUGGCCAUGAUUUACUCCAUGUAUCUAUAAAAAGGGGGCCUCUCCCCCCUAAUUUGAUAUCUCUGAAUCCAUUUUUGGGAUCCAUUUUCUGUAAUUCCUUCUCCAUCUUGUAUUUUCUUCAUAUUUUAAUAAAUUUCCAUUUUGCCCCUAGUUCAAUUAUGAGUGGCUAAUUUUCUUUCAAGCUUGGGUUGAAGGUGAAGUCUCAACAUGUGUCAUGGGCUUUAUUUGGUAAAUUUAUUUUCUCUUCCCCUCUAGUUUUUGUGGAUGUUUUGACUUCUCGUCGACAAAUAAUACUAAUCUUGUCUAGUACCGCCUUGGUUUCACCGGCCUUCUAGUACAAGGUUAUUAUUAUUUGGCACGAUAAGCCCUUAGCACCAUAUUGAUUAGAGCGUGGUUCAUGAGGUGUGGAUUCCCCCUUCAUGAUUUAAUUGGCAUUAAUACGGAUUAUAUAGCCCAUGAUGCAUGUUGAUACGGAUCCAGAUACCCAAGUACGUCAAUUUAAUAGAUUUCAUUUUCAAGUUAUUCUUGCCAUUUCAAUUCCAAUUUUAGAAUUUAUUCUCGCCAUUUUAAUUUAAGUUUUAGCAUAUUCCAAAUCAUUUCAACCACAAAUCCCACCACCCAUUUCCAAAAUUAAUUCUACACAUAAUUAAAAUCCACCUCCUCGUGGGAUCGACACUCGUCACCAUUAGUCUAUACUACAAUAGAUUCGUGCGCUUGCGAGUACAUUAAAAUUUGCACAACACGUCCCACUAUUUUAUCAUUUCCUUACACUCCCAUAUGUAAGAAACGGAAACUCUCAUUGGUAAAAGUUUCUAGUAGGAAUCAGAUUCUCAUUAGCCUAAGUUUACCUCACCUAACAGUUCUUGGCUUACUUAUUAUAAUGAGUAGGUAACUCUUACCAAAUGCAUCUCAUGCAUGUACCGAUUAUCCUUCGGCCUCUAAAUCAUUAAUACCUCACCUGACAGUUCUUAGUAUAAAUGAUUUAGUUAAGUUUACCCUAAUACCCUUGCAUAUUUUCAUAACGUCUUACUAACUUCACCUAACAGUUCUUGGUAGCUUAAUGUAUGAAUUACGCAUCAUCGCAUGAUAUAUGGUUUAUUUUCAACAUUUUAAUGAAUGAGUAGCCCAUGUAUCUAUGACAACUAGCCCAAGCAUAAAAUAUUUUAAAUAUUCCAUUGGUAUUAGUAGGCCAUGAUGGAUAUUCUCAAUAUUCAUCAUUACAACUUAACAAUAAUUAUGUUUAUUUAAUUAGGGAGUAUUUGGUCAUUAUUAUGGUCUCACUUUUUAGCAUGUUAUUCCAUUUUCAAUAUUCAAAUAUGUCUAAGCACCCUAAUAUACAUCUCAUGCAUAUUAUAGACAAGCCAACUAAGGAUGAUCAUGGAAUUUUCUAAUAAAACCAAUUUGAGCCAAAAUUAGUUUUAAGGUCCACCUAGGUAUCAAGCAAACAAUAAUAAUUAUGAGACAUCCCAUGCCUCAAAUUAUCAAGCAAACAAUAAUGAUUAUGAGACAUCUUAUGCCUCAAAUUAUUACAAUUAUUAAUUUCUAUUUGAAUGGCCAAAAUAUCAUUGGAAGUGAUGCAACGAUCCACAAAGACUUCUUACUCCAACCUCCAAGGCAUCGCAACGUCCCUCCUUUGACAAUCAUCUUGUAGAAAUUACAUAUUUAGAAGAAUUGGAGUACAAAUUUAGGGGUAAUGGGAUACAAUCAGAUCUUAAUAGAAGGAGAGACAUGCAAGUCCCUAUUUAAAAAUAUAACAACCAUUUAAGCCUUUAGAAAUCGGCCAAAUCAACAAAUAAAUCAAUAGAUCAUUCAAUCACACAUAUAUUCAUUCAUCACAUGACAUAAAUAUAUCAUAAAAUAUCUAGGUCUUUCCAUGAUCGUCCUUCAUGCUAUUAUAAAUGGAAAUAACAUAAAUCAUGCUUCAAAAAUGCGAAAUUGAAUGAAGAUGGCUCUGAUACCACUUGAAGGACAACAUUUGUCCAUGAGGUUCCUAAAAUCGCAACUUUUGUGCAGUAAUAUUAAAACGGACGGCGGAAGCUCUAGAAACCUCGGAUCGGCUUCAUUCAAAAACGAAAAUCAAGAGGAAAGAUUGAAGUUUAAUUACCUCACUUGAAGUUUCGAAAAAGACUUCUUGAGGUAGGAGAAAACGACUGAAAACAGCAAGCUACGAACACUGUCCAGAAAAUACAGCUCUGCACGAACAGCUUCUGUUUUGCCACGAUCUGAGAUCCUUAAGCACCCCAAUUGUGAUGCCUCUAAUUAUUCCACACUUAGAAAUGUUCUAGGAGUUCAGAGGAUUUGGAAUCACGAAAUUUCGUUUAGAAAUGAGAGAGAUAAUGAUGAAACAUGAAUGCUAGUCCAUGAUGAUUCCCCUUCCACCAAAUAAAGCACCAUUAUGUCUAAUAAUGGCACCAAACAUUAUCAUGUGCUAGACCCACCCACUUAGCUAUAAUUUAUUGAAAGUGAUCUUAUCACUUAAAUAAAUUAUUUAAUCAAAUUAAUAAAUAGCUAAAUUAAUUAAUUUCGUAAUUAAUUAAUUAACCCCAUUUUGAUCAAAUCAAAUGGUUAAAUGUGGGCUCAUUUUGUGACAUGUUCUAAUGCUUUCUCUUAAUCCAUAUUAGAUCCAAUAAAAGCCCAAAAUUAUAAACCCAAAAAUGGUCUAGAAGUCCAUAAUCAUAUAUGAACCCGAACAUGUCCAAAAUGGUCAUUUUACGUGCUCGAUAUUACAUAAUGUUUAAUGGAGGAUUUACGAAAUUUAUUUUGUUCCUUAAACUAUUUAUGGAACAUCUAAAUUUCUAUCUUAAAUCAUAUUUAAGAUAUAUUUAUAUAUAUAUGUAUAUUCAUUCUCAAUGAAUUAUAAUAUAAAUAUUGAUUUUCCUAAAAAUAGGAAAUUUAACUUCUCAUUUUCUAGUAACUCCUUUUUCAUUUCUAUUUAAUGUGUGACCUUUUAGGUUCUUAGUUAUAAGGUAGUAGAACUAUUUUAAUGAUAACUCUUUAUUCAUUAAAUGAUGCUAAACUCUUUAGUCAUCAAUUAGAACUCUUCUAAUGACCUUAAGAUGCAUUGAUAAUACGCUUUACCAAUAUUGAUCUUAAGGUUUCUACAAGUCAUGAGUGACACCUAGCAGUAUAUCACAACCAUCCAAAUAACAAGAAUUGUUGGAUCUAUAGAACCUAUUCCAUUGUGUCUCUAUGUCUUGGUCUCUUCAUCAUCCAUGUCCAAAGAAAAGCACGGCUUAUGGUUUAUUAUGUUAAGCACUUAUGCUUUAUCUCAAAACAAAUCUAAAUGAACUUGACAUGAAAAUAUAAUUUGAACUCCUUCAAAUAUAUUUCACCUUGGCCAAGGAUUUCUCAUGCCAAUUCAUAUUAUCUUAUAGGGACAUCCUUUUUGUAUAUUACAAAGUGAUGAAUUCCAUAUUGGCCAUGCACUAGUCUUCAUACAUAUCCAACCAUGACAGUUAUUGCUAGAUCUCUUCCGUGAUUAGGAAUCAAUCAUUAUGCAUUCACAUAUCAGAGAUGUCUAUGUAUAAGACAUCUGUUAUGCCUCAGGUCUAAAGACCAUUACUAAACAUAGUGUCUAAUACAAUGUAUAAUAAGCCAUUAACACUCAAGACCAUAUGGCUUACUAUAUUUGGUCAAGUUCAGUAAACUUGUUCUCUCAACAAGUACCUAUGUGUUUGACUUGACAUCUCAUGUCAAUGAUAUGAAACUCACCAUCCAUUUUAGUAUCACAUACCAUAAGAAGUCAUAACACAUACUAGUGUUUAUAGGAAUUUAUAAUGUCCAAUCAUAAAUCCACCACUAGGAACUAUUUUAGAAGUAUAGUACAAAGGAUACACGUUUCAUAUUCUCGACAAACUCGAGAAUGUGUUCCUUAACUAUUUUACAUCUUGGACUAUAUUCAUUAAAUUAAUUAAUGAAUAUUGAUAACUUUGCCAUUUUAUAAAUAUCAAAAUGCUAUUCAAAUACGAUAAUUCCCUAAACAAACAAACACCAUUUGAUUGGCCUUUAGGGCAUAUUACUAACAAUAGCUGCUGCGUUGAUUUCUAAUGCGGUGGAGUAAUCGUCGUUAGAAUCUGAAUGAUAUGUCUAAGACGUUGCAUGCAUCAAGAAAAUUGCAGACGAUUAAACCUUGCCAUCUAUGCGUUGUAUGAGGUUAUAGCAACUAUCUAUCUGGUCACCGUUUUAAAAGAAUAAGACAAAGGGAAAAAGAGAAAGAAAAGAAUGAUUCGACAAUGGCAUUAAAGUUCAACAUACCCCAAGAUCUUGUAAUAAUGCCAUUAAUCAUUCUCUAGCUAGGCUAGCCUUAGAGAAAAGUGAAACUGUUGCACAGGUAGAAUCAAACCCCUCAGAGAUAUGAUGAGUUCGUGAUGCUUGCAUUUUAUUGAUGCUGAUGAUUCGUUGAAUGUUUUAUGUUUUUGAUUUUUAAGUAUUCCGGAUCGAAGUUUGUGUCUACGCGGAAAUUGUAAAGGCAGCAUAUAAAGUACUCGUCGUUCUUUAGAUUUUAUUGAGUACACUUUUGUCACAUUUAGCGUAUGCUAUACACUACUGAUUUGCGCAUUGACAUAUAUCUUAUUUUAUCAUUUUGAAUGAAUUACACGGCGAGGCUUAUCAACUUUGGAUGAAUCCUCCAAUUGUCACAGUCCAAGACUGGCUGCAGUGAGUGAAAAUUUACCCAUAUAUAUGCUGGCUAUUUUUAUUGGCGACGAAUUCGUUGUAGUUGGUCCAUCUUGCUAUUCUCGGACAAUAUUAGAGAAAAUAAUCAUAUUAUUUCGCGUGAUGUGACCUUCCAUAACUUAUCAAUUGAAUUACUGUAAAAUUAUUGUGUAAGUUUAGGCCCAAUGGCACUUUAGUUCAUCACAUGAUAGCCUGGAUUUAAAAGGAAAACUAUAUUGCAUUGCUUCAAAAAAAAAAUUUAAUGUUUUUAAUAUGAAUAUUUUUAACUAUAUUCAGUUAAAAUAAUAUAUUCUUAAUAUUAAUAUUCAUAGAUGAAAUUCUUUUGCGGAUUUAAGAAUAAAAUAUCAAAUAGUUUUAUUUUUCUUUUGUUGUGUAACUCGGACCGAAAAAGACAAUGAGCUUAACAUGACCCUCCUUCCGGCACUAUGCAUGUUUUUCUUAUAUUAAUGACAGUGCUCUUGGUGCUUCUCAUCUGCUUCUUGCUUUGGUUUCAAACAAGUCUUUCUCCGUCGAGACAUUUAUUGUAAUUUGAUUUGGAGACAUCUGUCGUUCAAAUAUAUUUCAUAUGCAAGCCGUUGAUAAUUCUGCUUGAGAAAGCCUACAAAGCAGCUGUGUGAUGUAAUAGAAGACUAUAUAUGCAAACGGUCAUCAGUUUCUCUUGAAUUCUUUCUUGAGUUUCUUUGAAUUAUUUGUGAAUGAGUUCUUAAUCGGCUGCUGCUCUUCAGGAAAAGGAAAGUGUUGCAAACUGGUGAAGCUGAUCGAUAAAAGCAAUGUACCAUCUUUGCUGGCAUGGAUCGAUGCCAGUGAGUUUUUUUAUUUGUCAACCUUUUUAAUAAUGCAUAUGUUUUUCUUCAACUUGAAGCGGCAUAUAAGACGAAAGAAGUGAUCUUUAAAGCAUUCUAUGGCAUUAUCCUUUCCUAUUAUAUAUAUCCAAUUGCUCCAAAUUAUUUGUAAAUUACUGAACACGAAUGCUGGUGAAUAAACUGAUGGCUCUAUGUAUGUAUGCACAUGCAUGGAGAAAUUUUAAGUCAGACAUUCUCAUAUAUAACUCGUGCUACCAAAUCAUUAAAUAAUCUUGAAAUCAAAGUAAUAAUUAAAUACAAAUAAAUUGCUCGAAUUGUACAUAUAUCUGAAUCAUGUAGUGAAGAAAAUACAACAACAACAACCAAUGGCUCAAAUUCCCCAUCAACUUCUAGUCUCAACACUUUUGAGUGUCAGAAGCAUUACUCUGCUACCAGUUAACAAACAUAUAAUUAGUAAUUAGCUAUUCACUUCCCUUUUAGGCCUACCACAUUUUCUACAAAGAAGCCAUAGAGAAUCAGCAGGAAACACUCAAUUUCAACCUAUGUAGGACCAGGAAUUUCAACCAAAAAAAAAAAAAGUGUGCAAUUGCUUAUCCUAUCCUAUUGCUACUAGAAAGAAAGUGAACAAUUAAUUUCAGUGAAUAAAUUAAAAAAAAAAUUACUUCUGCAGAUACUCAAGCUAAGAACACAUUAACCCAUUAAAGACUCCAAAUUGCAUCAAACAAAUUGUUGUUAAACAAGUAAAACAAAGAAAGAGAGUUAAGGAAGCUGACCUAGUAGUAGGGGAGCUGAAGAAAGACUGCCAGUGAAUGUAAGAGAAAAUAAAAUGCAAGAAAUGGUGAAGUGCAGCUUUUCAUGUCAACUUGAAAAUGAUUUUUCUGUUUUUUUUUUUUUUUUUUUUUUGUAAUCUUUUGGAUUUUUCAAACAAAGAAAAUGAGGAGCAACCAGGGAGAUAAAAAGGGCGCCAAGGCAACUGUGUGUUGGGUUUAGAGCCAAAAAAAAAAAAAAAGAAUAAGACAUCGUGUUCUUGUGGAGACCAGACCUAUUACGUAACGUCCCCUUCAAUACCACUUGUUCCGUAUCUGGUUUUUUCUUCGUCUUUUACAUAUUUAUCCUGUGAUUUUACAAUAACUAAAUAAUCCCCCCAUAGUUUGCAAUUUUAUUCAUUUGAGCCCUACAGAUUUCAGUAAUAGGAAUUAUUAAGGGACAAGAGCGCAAAACAGAAACUCUGUCCACUACUGAUGAUAUAACAACGAACCUUUGUUUUUUUCUUUUUCUUUUUUUAAAAAAAGAGUAACAAAAUAUCAUUAGACAAAUGAAAAUAUUAUCUAACAUCACCCUACUGAUGAUAUAACAACGAACCUUUGUAGUUUCUGCCUGUUAAUAUGAAUUGAUCGGGAGUGUUUCCUCAAUUAAAAAUUACGAAUUUACAAAAUAUGUAUGUAUGUACGUACGUAUAUAUGUAUGUACAUAUAUGCAUACACCUAUGUAACAUUUACUUAUCCAUUCUUUUGAGUUUAAAACUUAAUACACAUUUUCAUGAAAUUUUUUAUUUUAUUAAGUAUACAACUACAUUAAUGUAUAUAUUUUUUAUAUAAGACAUGCCGUCCUAUUAUUCGUAAGUAAAACAAUGUGUUGUGAAUAGUAUUCCGUGUUUUCUCAAAGUUGACUUUUCGUCUUUUAUUUUCAGACGCAGACGAUAUGUCAUUUUGUAAUCUUCCAAACAUAUACAGAGCUGAAUUGGUGUUAUCUGAUUUUGUGAUGCAAUGAUAUUUGCACUUCCUGUGCACUCAAUGGAAUCAUUUCUUUGUAACUAAUUGGGUGGUGGAAUCUAUCAAACUCCAGAAACAGGGAAACCAUGCCACGCUAGUAGACAAUAUGCUAGUUUUAACAAACUUGUUUGAAUGGCAAAAACGACAUGACCUGCUGUAGUAUUAGUUCUUUCCCGAACCAACGGGUGAUUUGCUACGUUGGAUCAUGAAAAUUGAAAAAAAAAAUUAACCAAAAUAAAAAUUCUUAAGGAAUUAGUUAGUUAAUUGAUUGAUCGAAUUUAAUCUAAAUUUGAAAAUGAUAAGAUAAAUUUAAAUUUAUUAUUAUUAUUAUUAUUUUAAAGUGGGUGGGUUUAUACAAUUUGAGCGGUGGAAAUAUCACUGCUGAAUUAUUAAAUAUACAGUGUAAAAUUUUGACCUUUAAAAUAUUCCCUUUUUUUUUAUUAUUUAGAACUAUAAGUUUAAAAAUUUAACAUUUUACCUCAAUAAUUAAAUACUUUUAACUUUAAUCUUCAAAUAUUUACCCUACAACAUUUGGACCUAAAUUUUUAAUCCGACUCGGCCCCUGACCCAAGUGGGAAGAAGAUCAGGCUUAUAAGUUAUAACUAUCACCAACAUAACAUCUUCUGGAAAAUAAUAAGAUUACUCACCUGCAAUUAUGUGAUCAAACUAAUGGUAAGCAAAAUAGAACAGCGUUAUUUCAGCCCCCUUUCAGUUUCUUUAUCAUUUUUCUUUUCCUAUUUAUAAGCUGAAUUCGGUUCAAAAUCGGCUAAUUCACUUUGAUUUCACUUUUCUUUCUUUCGGUUCAAAAAAAUUGAACCCAUUGGCUGUCAAUUCAAUUUUGUUGAAAACCAACUUUGCCUGAAUUUAAGUAAUAAUAGAGGAAAAAAACAAAAGAGUACUUAGCAGAAGAGAUUUCUCAUUUUUUUCUCAUUCAAACUUCUAAAAUAAAGGAAAAAAAAACAAGAGUAAUUGUUAAUUAUCAAAAUUUUGUUUAUACUAUUCCACCAAGAAAAUUAUAAAAAAAAAAUUUUAAAAAUUGGAGAAGAAAUAUGAGGUGAAAUACGUGGAUGGCUUAGACUAAUAAUGUGAACAAAUUCCUCUCGGAAACAUGUCAUUGUUCAUCCGGACAACACGCGGCGAUGAGAUUCAAGAAUGAAAGGAUAGGAAUCAACUGUAACCUCAUAAACAAAUGGGCUUGGAGUUGUAAACACCAAGCUCGGCAGAUUAAUUAAACAAAAAUAUCCGAAUUUUCUAUGAUAAUCUCUAGGAAACGAUCAGCUAUAAUGUACGAAAUUAAAAUAUUGCAUAUAUUUUUGAAUUUUUGAACUCAUGCAUUAAUUUCAAAAAUUAUAUCGUAUUAUAAUUUAUUCACAAAAGAAAGAAAAAUUCACUAAUCAAGUGAAAUCGUAUUCUUAUUGAAAUGAAUUCCAGUAAUUGGAUAAAUAUAAGUAUUUCUUCCAUUGUAAUUUUUGUUUAAUAGAAAAUCUAUUUGAGAUUUUGUGAGAAGAAACUCAACAAUAAAGUUUGAUAGACUUUGUGGAUAUUAAGAGUUUGACAAGUAAUUGAAAUCUGAAGUUUACUGAAGUUUACGAGCAAACAAACUGAAAUCCAAAGUUUACUGAAGUUUACUAUCAAGAGUUUCAAAACAGUGAAAAAGAUGAUAUAGUUGAUGACAGAAACCUGAGUUAUCCAUAGCGACAAGUAACAUACUGAAGUAAGCCGUUGGGAGCUGGCCUGUUCAUGGGCUAUUUUUCUCUGAUGAUCUGCAUUUUUCUUCCUUUUAAGUGAACCUUGACUCGUAUCAAACCUGUCAAAAGAACAGUUCAUCAACUGAGCUGAGAUUUGCUUUCCUUUUUCAAAACCCACCUGAGAUAUUGUAAUUCCCAAAUUUCUCUCUCUCAGCUACACGAGCAAGCAGCCGCUUUUUCACUUCAUCGAAGAAGGUAAGCGAUAUAUCUAUUUCGUCCGAUUGAUUUCUUGUUUCCUUUUCAGUGUUCGGGUAAAUUAUUGGCAUGCCUGACUUUUUGACCAUUACAUGAUUCAUAAAUUUAUAUUAAUUUUGAUUUUGAGUUGACCGGUUACUUUUAUAGGUUUGCUUACUUUGACUAGGUGACCAAUUUCUUGUAACUAAAUUUAUGACGUGAUGCAGGAAGCUGGGCAGGAUAUGAAAUGAGAAUCUUAUUAGUGGAAGGAUUGCCAGUAACAGAACCCAAAGAAAAUGAAACCAUUUCAAGGCAGCAGUUGGCAGUUGGGAGUGAAUGGAGGCCCCUGACAAAACUUCAGUAAACUUCAGAUUUCAGUUUGUUUGCUCGAAACUUGCAUGGUGACAAGGAUACUGACAAGGAUAAUGAGAUAGUUUUUGUGUGAAUGAAAUUACGACCAUCCUCAGCCUCAGGUAAUUUCUUCUCCUGCUUAGUUGUUAUUUGUUACCUAAUUAAGAAGCAUAAAGUAUCUUGAAUCAUUUUCGUUGUCUGGAAUAUAUGCAACAGUUUUUAAAAUUUUGAUAUCAGUGUAAUGAUUGUAAUUUCUGUUUUCUGUCUGUCAUCGAAUGUAAGGCAACUUUAUUAAGACUCUUGAACCGAGUCAUUUUUUACAAUUGAAGGACAAGUGCUGAAGAGUGGGAAUGCAAAAAUUUUUGUUGUUUUUAGCCUUGUUUUCUUUGAACCAGCGCCUGAUUCUCAAGACUCCAUUAAUUUGGCUUUUGAUCAGCUGAUUGAUAAAUGUUCAAUUUCUUUGGUGAUAAAUGUAUAUGUGAAGCAGGUAGCAGGGCAUGACUGUGGAAAAGAGAAGAUUUUAGUGAAAGCCGAGACUCAGAUAAUUCUACGCGUUUUGGCUGAUUUAUAUAAUUCGUGAAAUUUUAUUUCCGUCUGUUACAAGAUCAAACUGCAAUUAGCAAUUUAACAUUCCCUUAAAACCACUAGCUACAUUUCAUCUUUCCACAAUUACACUUAAAAUUCCACUAAAAGAAACUCUUGAGGUGCUCUGAUGAGCAUAUAAUAUAUACAUAUUUUACCCUUAAUUAAAUAAUUGCUAGUUAUAUUUAUUUGUUAUUUUUAAUUAAUUGAAUUAUUUUAUUGCAUAGAGAAUUAAUUGAAGAUUGGAAAUAAAAAGUGCAAAAAGAAUAACAAUUUAGGAGAAUAUUAGUUGAAGUCAUGACAGAGUUAAGAGCCAAGAGCAAUUUGCAUUGAAUUUUAAUUCUCCAAUUGAGUUGCACGUGCAUGGCAUUGCAAAAGUGGAAAGCAAUUUAAAUGGGGCCCACACUUGACUUUCAAAAGUGGAAUUAAUGGCUUAUGGUGGCGUUAUUAUGGAAGCUUUGUUUUAUAAUUGGAAAAGGAUUUUAAUUAGUAGACAAAGAGGAUUCGGUGGUUAAGCAUUAUAAAAAGAGCGUUUUGGCUUUUGAAUGAGGGGAGCCGCCAGAGGACGGAAACAAAAGGGCUGGAAGAGAGCAAUCGGUAGUAGCAAUAUUUCGGCUUCCAUGGCUGAUUUUAUUUCUUGUGUUGCUCUCAAUUUAAGUAUGUCUAGCUAAUUUUCUUAUGCUGAGGUUAAGGAUAAAACCCUAUUUAAUGAAAUAAUUAUCUUUUUAUUUAAUUAAUUCCUUAUAUAUGUUCUUUGAUGAUUAUGGUUUUUAUUUCACAUGAUUAAUUGGAUGUUAAUAAAAUCUUUUCAUCAAUUCUGUCAUGCAUUAUUGAUUGUUAGGAUUAAUAUUCGAUUAAUUCUAUACUUGGAUCUAUAAAGUUUAUACAUGAUUAUCUUUGAUUUUAUGUCUUUCAUUAAAUUGUUGACAUGGAGUGCUUAGGAAACUUUGACUCUUUGUUAUUCAAUAUGUUUACAUGAGAUUCUUAGAUGUCAUACUAUUAAGCAGAAAAAAACCUACAUAAGAUUAAUUUUAUUUGGGCUUAAUUGUUAUAUCCAUGAGAUGACAUAGAUAGAUUUCGAGUUGUCACUCUAAAAUUGGGGAUUAAUUAAUAAUUAGCUAAUUACUAGUUGAAUAGUGGUGGAUUCUGAAACCUUAGUAAUUUGUCUUAUUGAUUUCUCAUUUGCUUUAAUUGUUUUCUUAGUUUAAUUAGUUUAAUUUCUCUUAAAACUCAAUUUGCUCAACUAAGUUAGAAUUAAUAUUAAUUUUAGAUUUAAAUUAGACUUUUCAAUUUAUAACAAUCCCUGUGGGAUCGACCUCGUGCGCUUGCGAAUAUAUUAAAAUUUUCACAACAUGCUCGCAAGCUAUAUAUCAUUAUCCAUUGAAUUCUUACCACAUAUAUCUCACCUUUCAAUCAAUCACAUAAUAAUCAAUAUACAUAUUGUAAGAAUUCAACAAAUGGAGAACAUAAUAUACUAUAAAAGCAUCCAAAAUUUUUCCUUCUCAAAUUAUUACUAAACUUCUUGAACAAGUUGAAGAUUGGGGGGAAAAAGUGCAAGAAGGAAAAGCAUUAUUCUACUAGCUUCUAGAAAGCAAAAUACCUUCUGCUGAUUGCACAUUGGAAUGGGAAUAAGUUGGUAAACAUAUAAGUUACAUAAAUUAUUUUGGAUAAUUCUGCUGGUGAAUUAAUUAUCUUAAAAUCACCCUUUUAUUUUUAAAAAAAUCUUAAGUUAUUUUUCAUAUAUCUUAAGAAGACAAACAAACUUUCAUCGACUCUCCUUUUUUAGCUUUUCCCUUCAAUAAUGUUAGAAAUUCUAACAUUUGAGUCAUGCUUGAGCUUAAUACUAUAUAUCACUCAUUUAUUAGAUGUUGAAUUUUUUAAAUUAUAAAGUUAUUUGACUACCAUCCAAUGAAUGAAUGUCACGUCAUUUAAAACUCAAAGAAAAGUAUUCUACUUCUUGCGGCAAUCAUGCCUUCAUUCAGACUAUGAACCAUUUCCUUUCACCAAAUUCUUCAUAAACAUUGAGUAAGUUUCAUGGUUGGACAUAGUUAGCUUCUGUUUCUUUUGGUGCAUUUAGGUGCUAUCAAGUGACGGCCGUAAGUGUGAUUGCAUUAUUGGGAAAUUUUACGAUUUGAUGGUUCCCCACGUUAUUGCCAAGAAAGUUCUCAUGUCGGAAGCAGCGGUUCUUUUCAUCGGCCUGAACCCGAACCUGUCGCUAUGGAUAACUCAGGUUUUUG
rnacentral:lncRNA from 1 species